GCAGCGGUCUCGCAAGCUCAGACGCGGCGCGGCCCCUCCGCGCGGCACCGUCCCCCCGUUCCCCUCAGGCGCUGCUGGGACCACGGAAGGGCGGUGGGAGCUCCGCGGUCACGUCCCCUCCGGGAGCUCUCCCAGGAGAAGGAGAGGGAGGCGGGGAGCGGGCGGGAGGGGCUCCGGGAGCGGGGCCUGCGGGACCAGCGGGGUUCUCGGGAACGGGCGGGCGGGGAUUGGCUGGGCUGGCACGGGGGGGCGGGGCCGUGCGGGCCGCGGGCUAUAAAUAGCGGGGGAGGGGGGGCGGGGGGGGCAGUUCGGCGGCGGAGGUGGAAGCGGCGCUGGAGCGGCGGGAGCCGGGGCGAGAUCGGCGCCCGGGGCUGCAGAGAUACCCAGGAGCGGAUUUAGGCAGAGGCAGCAGAAAGCUGAGAACCUGGAGCUCAGGCAGCAGAGCUGGUGGAGACAUAAAGACGGUAGGACUGUGGGCAGAACAAGAGUGGGGCUGGAUUAGGGAGCAUGGACCUGGCAUAAGUACUGCAGGGAUGGAGCUGGGAUAAAAAUAGUCAGGCCUGGCCUGGAA